rnacentral:lncRNA from 1 species
GCACACGGAGGUCAUACAGUGAGGUAGAUGGCUGAGACCUAGCACAAGGAUUUGCCUUUUAUUCCCUUGCUUAAAGUCACACCUACCAGCCCAUUAGGACAUUAACCAGCGAAAAGUAGGGUCUCGUCAACGAUUAAAAAUAAAUAUAGCCGGGGAUUUAGCUCAGUGAUUCCAGCACCAGGGAUCGAACUUGGGUCCUUGUGCUUGUGAGGCAGGUGACAGAACCACUGGGCUAAAUCCCCGGCCUGCUAUUGGUUAUUAAAGAGAAGAAACAGGACUAUUUGGGAGUGCAUCUAUAGAAUUUUAUUAUUGCAAAGGAGAGUUUAAUUAAGGUAUUAAAUGGACUCAGCUUUAGAAAUUUGGAAACUCUACUCCAGGCAACCACACUGAUAGGCAUGAAAUACCUGAAGCAAGAAAACCCAAGAAAGGAGAUUGCUCAUUCAAGGCCCUUGAGCCUACUUCCCUACCCCAGAGAGCUCUCUCCUGUUUGCUGCAUCCUAAUCUCGAGCAGCGACCCCCACCAGGGCUGACUACGGCCACACCUGCUCAUCUGACCUUUCUCUCCGCUCCAGACUGUGUGGCACGGCCAGCCAAGCGCUCCAGCACCGAGCUCCACCCACCACUCUUUGCAGCUCCACAUCCUUUCAGGAUGCCCCCACACUUCUCUUUAAAGUUUCUUCUGGGGUCAACAAAACCUUCCCUGUCUUCACUAUGUAUUGGAAACAGGGCCUUGCAUGUCACCCAUAGCUAGAGUUCUAGAACUUCCCCCCUAAAGAACCCAUCACAUUGGGUGACUUCAUCAUCUCUUUGGCUAAGUCACAAUGAGCACCAGAAGCUGUGGCAAAGCAUUCUGGGUAGCAAGGAGGACUCAGCCUCCUCUUAGACAAAUUUCCAUUCAAAAUGAGGAAGGGGUCAGUGAAAUGAAGACAGCAGGAGCACGAACCAUUCUAGGAAGGUGGAUGAUGAAAUUCACUUUCAGGAAUCCAAGUUUAGGGAGCUGCACUACCGGAGGUCACAGACAUUCAUCUCAGAUCUGGCUGGUGCAGUCCUCACUCAACUCAGGAUUUCUGGUGUCCAGCAAGGAAACGCCCCAGAUACCCGGAGAGGGGCCAUCGAGGAGGCUGUGACUGUGGUAUCUUAAGAUGCACCGGGGAAGAAGGGACUGGGAUUAUCUUGUGAUUCGUUGAAUGUUCUUUAGCCUAUACAGAUAAAUAUAUAUGUCUUGCAAGUCUGGCCCAUACAAC